rnacentral:rRNA from 1 species
CGUGAAAUUGUUGAAAGGGAAGCGUUUAUGACCAGACUUUUUCCUAGUGGAUCAUCCGGUGUUCUCACCGGUGCACUUCGCUAGGCUUAGGCCAGCAUCGGUUUCCGUAGGGGGAUAAAAGCUUUAGGAAUGUGGCUCUUCGGAGUGUUAUAGCCUAUUGCAUAAUACCCUUAUGGGGACCGAGGUACGCGCAUUGCAAGGAUGCUGGCGUAAUGGUCAUCAACGACCCGUCUUGAAACACGG